rnacentral:rRNA from 1 species
GACGAACGCUGGCGGCGCGCCUCAUACAUGCAAGUCGAACGAAAACUCGGAGCUUGCUCCGGGUGGACAGUGGCGAACGGGUGAGUAACACGUGAGAAACCUGCCCCGAAGACCGGGACAACACCGGGAAACCGGUGCUAAUACCGGAUGUCCUUACCGGACCGCAUGAUCUGGUAAGGAAAUGGAUUCCGCUUCGGGAUGGUCUCGCGGCCUACCAGCUUGUUGGCGGGGUAAUGGCCCACCAAGGCACGACGGGUAGCUGGUCUGAGAGGAUGUCCAGCCACACUGGGACUGAGACACGGCCCAGACUCCUACGGGAGGCAGCAGUAGGGAAUCUUGCACAAUGGACGAAAGUCUGAUGCAGCGACGCCGCGUGUGGGAUGAAUGCCUUCGGGUUGU